rnacentral:rRNA from 1 species
UGCAAGUCGAGGGGUAACGGGGUAGCUUGCUACCGCCGACGACCGGCGCACGGGUGCGGAACGCGUAUCGAACCUGCCCCUGUCAGGGGAAUAGCCCAUGGAAACGUGGAUUAAUGCCCCAUAGUAUCAUUUUGUUGCAUGAUGGAAUGAUUAAAGGUUACGGACAGGGAUGGCGAUGCGUACCAUUAGUUAGUUGGUGAGGUAACGGCUCACCAAGGCGACGAUGGUUAGGGGCCCUGAGAGGGGGAUCCCCCACACUGGUACUGAGACACGGACCAGACUCCUACGGGAGGCAGCAGUGAGGAAUAUUGGUCAAUGGUCGGAAGACUGAACCAGCCAUGCCGCGUGCAGGAUGACUGCCCUAUGGGUUGUAAACUGCUUUUAUACGGGAAGAAACCUACUUACGUGUAAGUAGCUGACGGUACCGUAAGAAUAAGGACCGGCUAACUCCGUGCCAGCAGCCGCGGUAAUACGGAGGGUCCGAGCGUUAUCCGGAAUCAUUGGGUUUAAAGGGUCCGUAGGCGGGCCUAUAAGUCAGAGGUGAAAGGCCACGGCUCAACCGUGGGACUGCCUUUGAUACUGUAGGUCUUGAGUCGUUGUGGAGUUGCCGGAACAUGUGGUGUAGCGGUGAAAUGCAUAGAUAUCACAUAGAACACCUAUCGCGAAGGCAGGUGGCUAACAACGUACUGACGCUGAUGGACGAAAGCGUGGGGAGCGAACGGGAUUAGAUACCCCGGUAGUCCACGCCGUAAACGAUGGAUACUAGCUGUGGGGCGCAAGCUCCGUGGCCAAGCGAAAGUGAUAAGUAUCCCACCUGGGGAGUACGUUCGCAAGAAUGAAACUCAAAGGAAUUGACGGGGGCCCGCACAAGCGGUGGAGCAUGUGGUUUAAUUCGAUGAUACGCGAGGAACCUUACCAGGGCUUAAAUGUAGAGUGACAGCUUUAGAGAUAGAGUUUUC